rnacentral:rRNA from 1 species
UUGAAAGGGAAACGAUUGAAGUCAGUCGUACCGGUGGGUAAUCAGCCUUUCGGCGUGAUUAUGUGGAGCGUGAGGAGUCAAACGCCCUCAUGCCUGCAUAUUCGUGUUCUUUGGGUGUACUUACCCGCAUGGUAGGUUAACAUCAAUUUCGAACGUCAUAAAAUGGUUGGAGGAAUGUAGCUUCGAUCUCGUAUUGAAGUGUUAUAGACUCCGGCAGAUGUGAUGAUCGGGAUUGAGGAUUGCAACGGAUACCCUUCGGGGCUACCCGUCUGAUCUCUGAAAGUUGCUCUGGUGCCGAAAGCUCGCUUACGGUCAUCAAAGUUGACGUUCAACAGGUUAGAACGGGAUAAAUUCGUUAAGGAUGUUGACGUA